UACGUAGGGGGCUAGCGUUGUCCGGAUUUAUUGGGCGUAAAGAGCGUGUAGGCGGCCAGGUAGGUCUGCUGUGAAAGCUCGAGGCUCAACCUCGAGACGUCGGCGGAAACCAUCUGGCUAGAGUCCGGAAGAGGAGAGUGGAAUUCCGAGUGUAGAGGUGAAAUUCGUAGAUAUUCGGAGGAACACCAGUGGCGAAGGCGGCUCACUGGUCCGGUACUGACGCUGAGGUGCGAAAGCGUGGGGAGCAAACAGG
rnacentral:rRNA from 1 species